AACACAUGCAAGUCGAGCGGCAGCACGGGUACUUGUACCUGGUGGUGAGCGGCGGACGGGUGAGUAAUGCCUAGGAAUCUGCCUGGUAGUGGGGGAUAACGCUCGGAAACGGACGCUAAUACCGCAUACGUCCUACGGGAGAAAGCAGGGGACCUUCGGGCCUUGCGCUAUCAGAUGAGCCUAGGUCGGAUUAGCUAGUUGGUGGGGUAAUGGCUCACCAAGGCGACGAUCCGUAACUGGUCUGAGAGGAUGAUCAGUCACACUGGAACUGAGACACGGUCCAUACUCCUACGGGAGGCAGCAGUGGGGAAUAUUGGACAAUGGGCGAAAGCCUGAUCCAUCCAUGCCCCGUGUGUGAAGAACGUCUUCCGAUUGUAUAGCACUUU
rnacentral:rRNA from 1 species